AAUGGGGGCAACCCUGAUCCAGCCAUGCCGCGUGAGUGAUGAAGGCCUUAGGGUCGUAAAGCUCUUUCGCCUGUGAAGAUAAUGACGGUAGCAGGUAAAGAAACCCCGGCUAACUCCGUGCCAGCAGCCGCGGUAAUACGGAGGGGGUUAGCGUUGUUCGGAAUUACUGGGCGUAAAGCGCACGUAGGCGGACUGGAAAGUUGGGGGUGAAAUCCCAGGGCUCAACCCUGGAACUGCCUCCAAAACUAUCAGUCUAGAGUUCGAGAGAGGUGAGUGGAUUUCCGAGUGUAGAGGUGAAAUUCGUAGAUAUUCGGAGGAACACCAGUGGCGAAGGCGGCUCACUGGCUCGAUACUGACGCUGAGGUGCGAAAGUGUGGGGAGCAAACAGGAUU
rnacentral:rRNA from 1 species